rnacentral:rRNA from 1 species
UACGUAGGGGGCAAGCGUUGUCCGGAAUCAUUGGGCGUAAAGAGCGUGUAGGCGGCCCGAUAAGUCCGCUGUGAAAGUCCAGGGCUCAACCCUGGGAUGCCGGUGGAUACUGUCGGGCUCGAGUCCGGAAGAGGCGAGUGGAAUUCCCGGUGUAGCGGUGAAAUGCGCAGAUAUCGGGAGGAACACCUAUGGCGAAGGCAGCUCGCUGGGACGUUACUGACGCUGAGACGCGAAAGCGUGGGGAGCAAACAGG